ACCGAGAUGGCUGUGAUGUUCAGACAGUCCAACCAAAGCACCAAGCAGCUGGUGUCUGAGUGGAAGUUUGAUCAGACCACACGUAUCUUUUGCUCUUGAGAAGGAAGCAGCGCAGUAGUCCAGUGUGUAGCUGAGCGGGACGUGUAAGAAAUCCAGCAGGAGACAUUGUCGGCGCAUCAAGGAGGGACGAUAGUGGAGCCCUCCAAUCAGGACACGUUACAUCUUAAUUUCACAUUUCAGUGAUUGUUGCAGAUGUUUCUCUCUAACCCAUCCUCUCUCUCUCUCAUUCUUUUACCAGAACGAUGCAUUUUGGGUAUCUGUGUGUGACUGGUUAGAGGAACUCCACUGAGGUGCCGCCCUUGUUGACCCACACAGCUGUAUGAGAAGUGUAGAACAUGGAUGAGCAGGAUCAACAAGCAUCAAAAUCUUAUUACAUUAAAUAAUAAAUAAAUAA